CCCGUGCUCUCUGCAGUGGAAGUGUGGAGUCCUAACCACUGGACCACCAAGGAGUUCCCACUCUGGAUGUUUCUAAGCCCUCUGGGUUUCCCACGCUGUGCUUGGUCCUGGAGUUACAAUGGUCCUGGGUGGCCCAAGCAGGGAAACAAAAUACCUACAGCUCAACAUGGUAUAAUCAAUUGACUGCCUGCCAUGGAAAAUGAGGAUACAGUUCUCUCUAAUCCUGACUCUCCCCAUAUACUCCCCUCCUCCACCCUCUCAAUUCAAAUAUAUUCCAAAUUUUAGUUAAGUCAACACUUAGUGUUUACAUUAUUAUGGCUGUGAAAAUAUUCUACACAGCUGAGUUAUGUAGUGUUUGUGCUAAGACUCUGUGAAUCUGUAAAAACUGGUUUUAUUAAUUAACAUCAGGGACAUGGGGCUGAGAAACUUCGUUCUCUAAAAUCAUACAGUCACAGAUUUUCUGUUUGAAAUCAAGCAGUGAGAAUGGAACAUCCCACUGUUGCUGGAGGUUUAACGCAUGUUGAUUACUUUGAUACAGAGAAACAGCCUCAAUUUCCAACCUAGG